rnacentral:rRNA from 1 species
GACGAACGCUGGCGGCGUGCUUAACACAUGCAAGUCGAACGGAAAGGCCCUGCUUUUGUGGGGUGCUCGAGUGGCGAACGGGUGAGUAACACGUGAGUAACCUGCCCCUGACUGUGGGAUAACUUCAGGAAACUGGGGCUAAUACAGGAUAGGAGCUCCUGCUGCACGGUGUGGGUUGGAAAGUUUCGGCGGUUGUAGAUGGACUCGCGGGUUAUCAGCUUGUUGGUGGGGUUGUGGAUGACCAAGGGUUUGACGGAUAGCCGGCCUGAGAGCGUAAACGGGCACCAUGGUCCUGAGGUACGGCGCAGACUCCUACGGGAGGCAGUGGGCGGGAGUCUUACACAAUGGGGGGACGCCUGAUGCGGCAACCCCGCGUUCGGGAAGACGGCCUUCGGGUUAUAAACCGCUUUCGACUGAGACGAGGCGUGCGUGACGGUAAUGGGUAAAGAAGCACCGGCUAACUACGUG